GGCGUCCGUUAGCGAGUUUCGUGGUUACCUUCGCGGGUGCCGCGAUGACGAGCGCGGCGUUUCCCAACAGUACUGCCCGGUCGUGACCUGUCUCCUCCCGGGAGGUGUCGUAGCUUUUUUUUUGUAAAAAGAGAAAAAGUUGCGGUGCUCAACCUGUGGAGGCCCAAAGCGGAGAGUAGAAGUCGGGUCCCACCCGACCCGUCUUGAAACACGGACCAAGGAGUCUAACAUGUGCGCAAGUCGUCGAGAAAUUAUCAAACUAAACUCGCGAGGCGCAAUGAAAGUGAAGCGGCCCCGAUGAGGGUGCAUCCGCGAGGGGUGAUCCCGUCUCGAACAGAGCGGGCGCAACCCCAGGGCGUCCGAAUGCUCGCGAGAUCUUUCCCCCUUAAAAGGGUUUGGUCGAGUCGGCCGGACGAACCCAGAGCGCACACGUUGGGACCCGAAAGAUGGUGACCUAUGCCUGGCCAGGACGAAGCCAGGGGAAACCCUGGUGGAGGUCCGCAGCGAUUCUGACGUGCAAAUCGAUCGUCGGAGUUGGAUAUAGGGGCGAAAGACUUAUCGAACCAUCUAGUAGCUGGUUCCCCCCGAAGUUUCCCUCAGAAUAGCUGGUGCUCGCAAAGAGAACAAACGGAGUUUCAUCCGGUAAAGCGAAUGAUUAGAGGCCUUGGGGUCGAAACGACCUCAACCUAUUCUCAAACUUUCAAUGGGUGAGAAGCCCGGCCUUUUUCCUUGAUUGAGGCCGCGGCAAUUGAUUUGAAUCUGAGCGCCCAGUGGGCCAUUUUUGGUAAGCAGAACUGGCGCUGUGGGAUGAACCAAACGCCCGGUUAAGGCGCCUAAACGACGCACAUUUCGGAUCCCACGAAAAGGAGUUGGUUGCUAAAGACAGCAGGACGGUGGCCAUGGAGGUCGGAAUCCGCUCAGGAGUGUGUAACAACUCACCUGCCGAAGCAACUAGCCCUUAAAAUGGGAGGCGCUAUAGCGUCGUGCCUAUACCGGGCCGUCGGUCGGCAGAGCGAAUAACGUCCGUGUCAGCUCGAAGAGAGCGACGGCGCUGAGGCCCCGACGAGUAGGGGGGUCGCGACGGUGAGCGUAGAAGGGUUGUGGGCGUGAGCCUGCCCGGAGCCGCCGUCGGUGCAGAUCUUGGUGGUAGUAGCAAAUACUCCAGAGGGAUCCUGGAGGACUGACGCGGAGAAGGGUUUCAUGUGAACAGUGGUUGGACAUGAGUCAGUCGAUCCUAAGCCGCAGGCGAAAGCCAACCUAGUGACGGGCGUGAUGUGUUGCAUCUAUCGUAUGAGUAACGGGCGUGGUUGUG
rnacentral:ncRNA from 1 species